rnacentral:rRNA from 1 species
UACGGGGGGGGCAAGCGUUGUUCGGAAUUACUGGGCGUAAAGGGCUCGUAGGUGGCCAACUAAGUCAGACGUGAAAUCCCUCGGCUUAACCGGGGAACUGCGUCUGAUACUGGAUGGCUUGAGUUCGGGAGAGGGAUGCGGAAUUCCAGGUGUAGCGGUGAAAUGCGUAGAUAUCUGGAGGAACACCGGUGGCGAAGGCGGCAUCCUGGACCGGCAUUGACGCUGAGGCGCGAAAGCUAGGGGAGCAAACGGG